AUGCAUCUGAAGAGUAUGGGGGUGUUCGUCAUACAUGACUGUUUUUACAGACCCUCUCCAUGUUGCCCCUCUCUCCCUCAGGCCUGUUGUAGUUCACCUUCCUCCACUAUGCACUGGCCUUCACCUCAGUGGUGCUGUUCUACAUCUACUACACACAGCCUAAAGACUGCACCGAGCACAAGGUCUUCAUCAGCCUCAACCUCAUCUUCAAUGUCAUCAUCUCCAUCGUCUCCAUCCUGCUCAAAGUACAGGAAGCCCACGCCCAGUCUGGUCUGCUCCAGGCCUCUCAUCUCCCUCUACACCAUGUAUGUCACCUGGUCACCCCAUGACCAACAACCCAAACCGUAA
rnacentral:lncRNA from 8 species